GCAUUCAGUUGCCAUCGGGUAAUGCCGGGCACUCUGGAAGGACUGCCAUCGACAAGAUGGAGGAAGGUGGGGAUGACGUCAAGUCAUCAUGGCCCUUAUGUCCAGGGCGACACACGUGCUACAAUGGCCGGCACAACGGGAAGCGAGUUCGCGAGGACGAGCGGAUCCCUCAAAGCCGGUCGCAGUUCGGAUUGAAGUCUGCAACUCGACUUCAUGAAGCUGGAAUCGCUAGUAAUCGUGGAUCAGCCAAGCCGCGGUGAAUACGUUCCCGGGCCUU
rnacentral:rRNA from 1 species